AUUGAACGCUGGCGGCAUGCCUUACACAUGCAAGUCGAACGGUAACGGGCCUCCGGGUGCCGACGAGUGGCGAACGGGUGAGUAAUGUAUCGGAACGUACCUUUCAGUGGGGGAUAACGUAGCGAAAGUUACGCUAAUACCGCAUAUUCUGUGAGCAGGAAAGCAGGGGAUCGCAAGACCUUGCGCUGAUUGAGCGGCCGAUAUCAGAUUAGCUAGUUGGUGAGGUAAAGGCUCACCAAGGCGACGAUCUGUAGCGGGUCUGAGAGGAUGAUCCGCCACACUGGAACUGAGGCACGGUCCAGACUCCUACGGGAGGCAGCAGUGGGGAGUUUUGGACAAUGGGGGCAACCCUGAUCCAGCCAUGCCGAGUGGGUGAAGAAGGCCUUCGGGUUGUAAAGCUCUUUCGGCCGGGAAGAAAUCGUAUCAGCUAAUACCUGGUGCGGAUGACGGUACCGGCAUAAGAAGCACCGGCUAACUACGUGCCAGCCGCCGCCGUAACAC
rnacentral:rRNA from 1 species